UACGUAGGGUCCGAGCGUUGUCCGGAAUUACUGGGCGUAAAGAGCUCGUAGGUGGUUUGUCGCGUUGUUCGUGAAAACUUACAGCUUAACUGUGGGCGUGCGGGCGAUACGGGCAGACUUGAGUACUGCAGGGGAGACUGGAAUUCCUGGUGUAGCGGUGGAAUGCGCAGAUAUCAGGAGGAACACCGGUGGCGAAGGCGGGUCACUGGGCCGCAACUGACGCUGAGGAGCGAAAGCAUGGGGAGCGAACAGG
rnacentral:rRNA from 1 species